rnacentral:lncRNA from 1 species
AAACAGUCCAGAAGCAACCCCCACACACACACACACACACACACACACACACACACACACACACACACACACACACACACACACCCACUCACACACACUAGCAUAGCCAGUAAGGGACCCUACUCUUCGACUCUGCAACCUCAUUCAACCUCCUCCUCUCCCUCUCCCUCCUCCUCCUCCUCCUCCUCUCCUUUCCUCUACUCUCCCUCUCCUCUCCCUUCCCUCCUCCUCCUCCUCUACUCUCCUCUCCUCUCCCUCCUCCUCCUCCUCCUCUACUCUUCUUUCCUCUCCCUCCUCCUCCUCUAUUCUCCUCUCCCACCUCCUCCUCUCCUCUCCUUCUCCCUCCUCCUCUCCCUCUCCCUCCUCCUCCUCCUCUACUCUCCUCUCCUCUCCCUCCUCCUCCUCUAUUCUCCUCUCCCUCCUCCUCCUCCUCCUCUACUCUCCCUCUCCUCUCCCUUCCCUCCUCCUCCUCCUCUACUCUCCUCUCCUCUCCCUCCUCCUCCUCCUCCUCUACUCUUCUUUCCUCUCCCUCCUCCUCCUCUAUUCUCCUCUCCCACCUCCUCCUCUCCUCUCCUUCUCCCUCCUCCUCUCCCUCUCCCUCCUCCUCCUCCUCUACUCUCCUCUCCUCUCCCUCCUCCUCCUCUAUUCUCCUCUCCCACCUCCUCCUCUCCUCUCCUUCUCCCUCCUCCUCUCCCUCUCCCUCCUCCUCCUCCUCUCCUCUCCUCUCCCACCUCCUCCUCUCCUUUCCUCUAAUCUCCCUCUCCUCUCCCCUCCACCUCCUCCUCCUCUCCCUCUCCCUCCUCCUCCUCUCCCUCCUCCUCCUCCUCCUCUCCUUUCCUCUACACUCCCUCUUCCUCUCCUCUCCUCUCCUUUCCCUCUUCCUCUCCUCUCCUCUCCUUUCCCUCCUCCUCCUCCUCUAUUCUCCUCUCCCACCUCCUCCUCUCCUCUCCUUCUCCCUCCUCCUCUCCUCUCCUUCUCCCUCCUCCUCUCCCUUCCCUCAGUGUUUUCUCUUCUCCCUUCCCUCAUCUUUGCUGCCUCAGAGGGUCAGACAAUCUAAAGAGACUCACGGCAGCCAGCGAGACAAGCUACGUGUGUGUGUGUGUGUGUGUGUGUGUGUGUGUGUGUGUGCGUGCACGCUUGAUUGAGUUUACAUGUGUCUGUUGUGUAGUGUCUGUGUGAGCGUUUUUGUGUGUGUGUGGUGUGUAGUGGUGUGUGGCGUCUUUGUGUGUGUGUGUUUGUGCGCGCGUGUUUUUGAGUUUGUGUGUGUGUGUAUGAGUUUGUGUGUGUGUGUCUGUGUGUG